GGCCUGCUAGAUCAGUCGGUUAGAGUGUCGUGCUAAUAACGCGAAGGUCGUAGGUUCGAUCCCUGCGCAUGCCA
rnacentral:tRNA from 1 species